CCAGUUCCGUUGGGCUGUGACGAGCUCAUCAAUCUUGGCCUUCAAAAACUGAUUCUCCUCGACGAGGCCCGUAUUCAUAUCAGCUAAAGCUUUUUGACUGGCAUCGGACGCAGCCAGCUCAUCCCUUGUGGCCCUCAGCUCGUCAUCAGACGUCUUCAAGUCCAUUAUAGCUCGAUCUAGGUCUUUCCGAAGGCCUUCAUUGGUAUGAAGAACGCCCUCGUGAUCGCUUCUUUCCCGAGCCAGGGUUGCCUUCAGCAUAUGGUUAUCCUAUCUCAAAAAAUCCUCCUCGGCUUCACCAUUGAUAUGCCUCGGACGUAAACGCCCGAAGACA
rnacentral:lncRNA from 1 species